AGAGAGAGAUGGGGCGGAGGGAAGAUAAAUAAGUCUUUAGAUCCAAAUACUAACGUGGCAAAGCUUCGCGCGGAACAGUCGGGCUUCGGACCAAGACAAAUAAAGCGACGGGUGUCGAUGUGGUAGGGAGAAAACUCGACUCCACACAACGGUCCUUUCCUUCCCACCGCUACAACGCUUUGGUUUCCAGCCUUGCAGGAACCCGACGGCUUUGAGUUACCACGAUAGACGCACAAAAAAGUCGACAUGUAUACUCCAAACCCUUACGGAGUGCCUGCUGUCACGUACACUGGUCCCGCUCCCGUAAUGGCUCCUGCCCAGAGUGUGGUUAUGGCGGCGCCGCAUCCGCCACCUGUAGUGAUCCAGCAGGGUCUGCCGCCUGUACAAGUUGUGACUGUCCAAGCAGCUGCUCCUCCAGUCACGUACAGCGCAGCACCUGCCAUGGGAGCUCAAGGCACGACGGUGGUUGUCACCAAUUGUCUGCCACAGAAGCCUCGCCCUCAACUUUCACCUAAGACUAAGAAAAGCGGAUUUUUGGCUUCGUUGUUGUCCUGAAGAGCUGUGACGGCGACAAUACACUGGACGCAGUAGCGGUGGGAUUUCGAUGUGUUGGUCGAAGGUCGUAUUGAGUCUAGUCAGGCUUUUAGUUUUAAUUUUAGAAUUCUAUUUAUCAUAAAUUUUAGUGUAACUGAAGUACUUCAUUGCUUUUGCUACAUUGCAUAUUUUUGGAUGGAGUGGCACUCUUAACAGUAGGCACAAUUACUAGUUAUCACUGUUUUUUAAUACUUUAAUGCAGGGUUUAAGUUUCUCUUGUAGACUGUGUAGUCACUUCUUAAUAUGGAUUAAUAAUCCCUUAAUAAACUUCAAUUUAU